CCAGCGUGGGUGAGUGCACCCUCCCUCCCUGGCUCUGCUCCUCCCCCUCCCCGGAACCACCACCCCCUCAGCCCUGAGCUGCCGAUGCCCUCGGGGUUCUGUUUUCAUUCCAGGCUGUGGAUCCGGUCGUGGGAAGCAGGCUCCAGCCCUCACCAGCAGGGACUCAACAAACAUGCAUCUGUCAGAUGAGUCAUGGGACCAGAAGCUUGGGAGAAGACAUGCAGAGCCAACCACUAACAAAACUGGCAAAUGAAAUAAAUGCCCAGAAACAUGCUCCAUCUCCGGCAUUCCUUAAGUCCUAUAAAUUGCACCACCUUUCACCAGUUUUCAGAAACUAAAAGUCAUCCUUGACAUCCGUCCAAUCAAUCACCUAUUUAUCUCCCAAAUUCAUUCUUUUUUUUUUUCUUUUCGAGACAGAGUUUUUGCUCUUGUUGCCCAGGCUGAAGUGCAAUGGCACGAUAGCUCCCCGCAACCUCUGCCUCCCGGGUUCAAGCCAUUCUCCUGCCUCAGAUUCCUGAAUAGCUGGGAUUACAGGCAUGCGCCACCACGCCUGGCUAAUUUUGUAUUUUUAGUAGAGACGGGGUUUCUCCAUAUUGGUCAGGCUGGUCUCGAACUCCCAACCUCAGGUGAUCCACCCACCUUGGCCUCCCAAAGUGCUGGGACUACAGGUGUGAGCCAUCGCACCUGGCAAAUUCAUUCUUAUAAUCUUGCCACCCCCACGACCACUGCCCUCAUGGACCCUGGGCAUGCCUCACCCGAAUUACAGAAAUUCCCUCCCAGCUGGUAAACCUGUUUGUGUGUGGCUCUCCUUCAUUCCAUCCUCCCUGGUUUAGCCAGAGAAAUAAUUCUAAAAUGUACACAUCCCAAAGCAUCUCAUUUUCCUGCAUGCAGUCUUUCAUCAUCCAUUCACUAACUGGAGGACAACAUCUGAAUUUAUUAGUGAGCAUGCAAAGGCUUUUCAUCCGCUGAACCCAGCCCAUCUGCUACCAUUUCCCUGGUCUCCGGUCAGAACUAGUGACAGUCCCAUAAACAGGUUCUGCUGGACUUCCAGUCAAGAUGGAGCAGUGAGUUCUCUGUUCCAACCUCAAAGCAGCAGUAAAUAAAACAUUUUCGCGUAUAACCCAACACACACAGUUGGGCUCAAAAACAAGGCAAGCUUUCUGUGAACCAGAAGCAAGAACAGAGACCAAAAUCACUAAAUGGGGCUGUGACUGACAUGCUGCUGGGCUCUGAGUCCCAAGGGGUUGUUAGAGAAGCCAGGAGCCCAGUUACCUUAGAAAGGGCAGUGUCUAAAAUGAACACCAGGGGUCUUCUGGAGGCCAAGAAUGUUCUUUUUGUGCCCUGGGGGUUUAUUACACAGGAGCAUAAUUCACUUUGUGAAAACUCAUCGAGGUGCCCCUUUACGAUUCAUGUGCGUUUCUGUAUAUCUGUUAUAUUUCAAUAGAAAUGUUUACUUGAAAAAUAUUGUCCUGUGAGAAAGCCCAGAGGAAGACCCUGCUUUUAGAUGCUGGAGACCAGGGUAGGGUGAGGUAAGGUGGGGUGGAAAUAGAGCACAGCCUCAAAGUGAGGACCCGUGCCAAGCCACCCACAGCUCCUCAUCUGGAUUGGCAUCAUUCUGGCACAGAAGAAGGAACCAUGAAAUAACAUGUAAGAGCUGGUGCUGGAACAGCAGCUUAGGAAAAUGGGUGGAGGCAACCACAAAACUAUAAACUGCGCAUUCAGGAAGAGGAGAAAAAAAGACAAAAACAAAAAUCAAAGGGGGAAAACUGCCACUAGAAAUGGAUCUGCAAAUCAAAAUUCCAAAACACAUUUUAACAAUGAAAAAGUCUAAUGCUAAGAAAGACAGUAAAAUCAAUAAACAACAUGAAUUCCUUCCAGUUGACAUCAGUUUUAUAGAGCAGAAGUCAUAAAAUCCAUCAAUUUUAUAGAGUAGUACUAAAAUCUAUCGGUUUUAUAGAGGAUAGGUUUUGAAGUAUAUAUACAUUUACAUUUCUCAAAGAAAUCAUAAAAACAUUAAAAAUAAGCAAUAAAUAUUAGAUGAAAAUAGGAAUGGAACAAGAAGAAGUGGGAAUAAAAAAGAUUAGGAAGGCCGGGCGUGGUGGCUCACAACUGUAAUCCCCGCACUUUGGGAGGCCGAGGUGGGCGGAUCCCCUGAGGUCAGGAGUUUGAGACCAGCCUGACCAAUAUGGAGAAACCCUGUCUCUACUAAAAAUACAAAAUUAGCCGGACAUGGUGGCGCAUGCCUGUAAUCCCAGCUACUUGGGAGGCUGAGGCAGGAGAAGCGCUUGAACCCAGGAGGUGGAGGUCGCGGUGAGCCGAGAUUGUGCCAUUGCACUCCAGCCUGGGCAACAAGAGUGAACUCUGUCUCAAAAAAAAAAAAAAAAUUAGGAAAAGCCCGGGCACGAUGGCUCAUGCCUAUAAUCCCAGCGCUUUGGGAGGCCAAGGCGGGUGGAUCACUUGAGGUCAGGAGUUUGAGACCAUCCUGGACAACAUGGUGAAACCCUGUCUCUUCCAAAAAUACAAAAUUAGCCAGGCGUGGUGGCGCAUGCCUGUAAUCCCAGCUACUCAGGAGGCUGAGGCCGGAGAAUUGCUUGAACCUGGGAGGUGGAGGUUGCAGUGAGCCGAGAUCACACCACUGCACUCUAGCCUGGGUGACAGAGUGAGACUCUGUCAAAAAAAAAAAAAAAACUCAAGGAAAAAGAACAAA